UUUAAAUGAAAUCAAAAAGAGAUGUACUAUUGUUAAUAGUAAGAUUGGUGUACAACCCAUUUAUAG
rnacentral:tRNA from 1 species